rnacentral:rRNA from 1 species
CCUACGGGGGGCAGCAGUGGGGAAUAUUGGACAAUGGGCGAAAGCCUGAUCCAGCCAUGCCGCGUGUGUGAAGAAGGUCUUCGGAUUGUAAAGCACUUUAAGUUGGGAGGAAGGGUUGUAGAUUAAUACUCUGCAAUUUUGACGUUACCGACAGAAUAAGCACCGGCUAACUCUGUGCCAGCAGCCGCGGUAAUACAGAGGGUGCAAGCGUUAAUCGGAAUUACUGGGCGUAAAGCGCGCGUAGGUGGUUAGUUAAGUUGGAUGUGAAAUCCCCGGGCUCAACCUGGGAACUGCAUUCAAAACUGACUGACUAGAGUAUGGUAGAGGGUGGUGGAAUUUCCUGUGUAGCGGUGAAAUGCGUAGAUAUAGGAAGGAACACCAGUGGCGAAGGCGACCACCUGGACUGAUACUGACACUGAGGUGCGAAAGCGUGGGGAGCAAACAGGAUUAGAUACCCUAGUAGUC